UUGUCCCUUCUGGGCUGAGCUGUGCUUUUGGCUGUCAUCUACCGCAGCUGAAAUGAUUUAUUAUUUUUUAUUUUUUAAAGAUUUUAUUUAUUUAUUCAUGAGAGAUACAGAGAGAGAGAGAGAGAGGCAGAGACACAGGCAGAAGGAGACGCAGGCUCCAUGCAGGGAGCCCGAUGUGGGACUCCAUCCCCGGACUCCAGGAUCACGCCCCGGCUGAAGGCGGCGCUAAACCGCUGAGCCACCAGGGCUGCCCAGCUGAGAUGAUUUAAAAUGUUAUGCAGUAGGGUACCAGGGUGGGCGGCCAGGAAUAAGGUUCUCUCUGGUUAUCAGAAUCGAAGCCAGCCAAACUCUCUGUCUAAUGCUUACCACCAGAAGGUUGAGGACAUACAUUUAUUGUCCUAAAACCACUUUUAUUCCUCUUGCCAGCAGGAUCCCAUAUUCUUGGCUAAUCUGGUAAAUACCUGGCAUUUGGCAAAAAAGAGCCUGUUUUAUGGAAGUGAUUGUUCUGCCUAUGAGUAGAGACUGGAUCCCAAGCACUUUAUAAAGGUGCCUUCAGUAUUUUUCAAAAUAUCCAAUAUAAAGUAAGAAUUAUUAGAAUGUCCUUAUCAUUCUUAACUCAGAGGCCAGGGGGCCUGGAAGGUUCCAAACCAGGCAGAUGCUCCCUUGGUAACUUGGUUUGUCAUUUUCCAACAGGAGUAAAAGAUUCUUUUUCAGCAAGCAGACGAUGGUAUCCUCCUUUCCAGCUACCUGAGGAAACUCAUCUCUCUCAUACUAGCAAAAUACUUCAACACAGUAUUUUGGUCACUGCACUGGCCUUUAGAAGCAUCAGACAUUGUGGAAUGUCAGAAGUAACUUCCUUGACUCUGAAGGAUGGUGACUUUUGGGACUAGAAGAACCAAAGGUAGUGCUGGGAGACUUCUAUAAAUGUACAAGUCAACAAUGGGCGAUGCGUUUCACGUCAGGAGCAUAAGAGGAAACAAUGAUUGGGACUUUGUUCUCCAGCAGAAUGUAAAGAUGGCUUAUCCUUUAAACCUCAACUUCAGUCUCCUGGUGAAAAUAGAUUGCCGCCAUGAAUUUUUGAUGCACAAGUCAUAAAUGUUUGAAAACUAUAAACUGUGUGAAAUACAUGCCUAGAGGGUCGGUUAUAUCCUGCAUCGUUUUAAAAAAUUACUUCCUAGUGUUCUCACCUGCCUGAUGUAUCCAUUUAUUGGUGUACUACUUCUCAUAGUGACCCAUUUUCUUUUCUUCCCUCACCGUUUAUUCAUGGGGAAGUUAUGACAUGUUGGUUUCUUUGCUGUAUGGAUAGGGUAGGCUAUGAUGUGGAUCUCCUCAGCAGUUCAUUAAGCACACUCCAAAACAUGUCAUUAUCAGUGCUAUGCAUUUAUUUCUUAGUCACCACGUGCAAAGGGUUAUUCUGGGCAUUAAGGAAGGUGUAAAAUUGGAGCCCUGCUUGCCAGCGGCUGGAAACAAACCAGAGGAACAGGGCCAAGCUGUAAGAAGGGAAGUACGCAAGUGUCACCUGAGUGGUCCGGUCAGGUAUGAAGCAAGGGGGGCACAUGACCUGAGUUUUGAAGAAAGGAGGGUAAUAUUUCAGUAAGUGAAGAAAAGCAACACAUGUU
rnacentral:lncRNA from 12 species